CAAAUCUGCUAAGGCGCUUGAGAGAACUCUGGUUAAGGAACUCUGCAAAUUGAUACCGUAACUUCGGAAGAAGGUAUGCCUUUUUUGGUCACUGGACUUGCUCCAGGAAGCUGAGAGAGGCCGCAGGUAAUCGAGGGCUGCGACUGUUUACCAAAAACACAGGACUCUGCUAACACGCAAGUGGAUGUAUAGGGUCUGACGCCUGCCCGGUGCCGGAAGGUUAAUUGAUGGGGUCAGCCGCAAGGCGAAGCUCUUGAUCGAAGCCCCGGUAAACGGCGGCCGUAACGAUAACGGUCCUAAGGUAGCGGAAUUCCUUGUCGGGUAAGUUCCGACCUGCACGAAUGGCGUAACGCUGGCCCUACUGUCUCAACCAGAGACUCAGUGAAGUUGAAAUCGCUGUGAAGAUGCGGCGUAGCUGCGGAAAGACGGAAAGACCCCGUGAACCUUUACUACAGCUUUACACUGAACUUUGAACUUGUUUGUGUAGGAUAGGUGGGAGCCUAUGAAGUGGGGGCGCUAGCUCUCAUGGAGGCAACCUUGAAAUACCACCCUGAUAAUUUCGGAGUUCUAACCUAGUCCCGUAAUCCGGGAUGGGAACACUGUAUGGUGGGUAGUUUGACUGGGGCGGUCUCCUCCCAAAGAGUAACGGAGGAGUGCAAAGGUACCCUCAGCGUGGUCGGUCAUCACGCUUCUGAGUGCAAUGGCAUAAGGGUGCUUGACUGCGAGACGUACAUGUCGAGCAGGAACGAAAGUUGGUCAUAGUGAUCCGGUGGUUCUGUAUGGAAGGGCCAUCGCUCAACGGAUAAAAGGUACUCCGGGGAUAACAGGCUUAUUCCUCCCAAGAGUCCACAUCGACGGAGGAGUUUGGCACCUCGAUGUCGGCUCAUCACAUCCUGGGGCUGUAGCAGGUCCCAAGGGUUCGGCUGUUCGCCGAUUAAAGUGGUACGCGAGCUGGGUUCAAAACGUCGUGAGACAGUUUGGUCCCUAUCUUCCGUAGCCGUUGGAGAUUUGAGGGUGAGCUGCUCCUAGUACGAGAGGACCGGAGUGGACGUAUCUCUGGUGUUCCGGUUGUCACGCCAGUGGCACUGCCGGGUAGCUAAAUACGGACGGGAUAACCGCUGAAAGCAUCUAAGCGGGAAGCCCUCCCCAAGACGAGAUCUCCCUGAGGACUUGAUCCUCCUGAAGGGCCCAAGAAGACUACUUGGUUGAUAGGCUGGGUGUGGAAGCACAGCAAUGUGCGGAGCUAACCAGUACUAAUUGCCCGUGAGGCUUGACC
rnacentral:rRNA from 1 species